CCAAAUACUUUCGUCAGCUACUGUAGGUAACAGAAAGAGUUAAUUAUGAUCUCUGUGUUUCGAAGAGAGAACAUUGCUAUAAUAAUAUAAUCACUAUGUUGUCGUUGGUUCUCGAUUAAAGUCAAAUCUACCGGAGUUAGGCUCGACGUUUGAGAUUUUAUGGAAUUUCCUGUCGGAGAUUGAAAGGGGCAAUCGCGAGCAGCUGUUGGUGAACGGGAAUCGGACCGACAGAAGUCAUACCAAAUCGGGCAUCUGAAAUGUCUAGAGAUGUCAUUAUCUCGGCAACUCCCACGUUGCGAGAUCUGUGUCUGCUACUGAACCCGCCUUGUUCGAUAAUUUCAAUAACGGAUACGCGAUUCGUGAUAUUUUUAAUGGAAGAAAUGUACCUUUCACUGGUCAAGCUCGACCAGGUGUUACUAGCACGCUUGUACUAGCUAAAAUCUAUAUUCUGGAAGU
rnacentral:misc_RNA from 1 species